UACGUAGGGUGCAAGCGUUGUCCGGAAUUAUUGGGCGUAAAGAGCUCGUAGGCGGUUCGUCGCGUCGGCUGUGAAAACCUGAGGCUCAACCUCAGGCCUGCAGUCGAUACGGGCGGACUUGAGUACUGCAGGGGAGACUGGAAUUCCUGGUGUAGCGGUGAAAUGCGCAGAUAUCGGGAGGAACACCAGUAGCGAAGGCGGCACUCUGGGCCGGUACUGACGCUGAGGAGCGAAAGCGUGGGGAGCAAACAGG
rnacentral:rRNA from 1 species